GAAGAACCUUACCAGCCCUUGACAUGGCAGGACGGAUACCGGAGACGGUAUUCUUCACUUUGGUGACCUGAGCACAGGUGCUGCAUGGCUGUCGUCAGCUCGUGUCGUGAGAUGUUGGGUUAAGUCCCGCAACGAGCGCAACCCUCGCCCUUAGUUGCCAGCAUUUGGUUGGGCACUCUAGGGGGACUGCCGGUGAUAAGCCGAGAGGAAGGUGGGGAUGACGUCAAGUCCUCAUGGCCCUUACGGGCUGGGCUACACACGUGCUACAAUGGUGGUGACAGUGGGCAGCGAGACAGCGAUGUCGAGCUAAUCUCCAAAAGCCAUCUCAGUUCGGAUUGCACUCUGCAACUCGAGUGCAUGAAGUGGAAUCGCGUGGUGAU
rnacentral:rRNA from 1 species